rnacentral:rRNA from 1 species
AUCCUUCCGUAGGGGGAACCUGCGGAAGGAUCAUUG